GAUCCUGGCUCAGGAUGAACGCUAGCUACAGGCUUAACACAUGCAAGUCGAGGGGCAGCAUGGUCUUAGCUUGCUAAGGCCGAUGGCGACCGGCGCACGGGUGAGUAACACGUAUCCAACCUGCCGUCUACUACUUGGACAGCCUUCUGAAAGGAAGAUUAAUACAAGAUGGCAUCAUGAGUCCACAUGUUCACAUGAUUAAAGGUAUUCCGGUAGACGAUGGGGAUGCG
rnacentral:rRNA from 1 species